UGGGGAAUAUUGCACAAUGGGCGCAAGCCUGAUGCAGCCAUGCCGCGUGUAUGAAGAAGGCCUUCGGGUUGUAAAGUACUUUCAGCGGGGAGGAAGGGAGUAAAGUUAAUACCUUUGCUCAUUGACGUUACCCGCAGAAGAAGCACCGGCUAACUCCGUGCCAGCAGCCGCGGUAAUACGGAGGGUGCAAGCGUUAAUCGGAAUUACUGGGCGUAAAGCGCACGCAGGCGGUUUGUUAAGUCAGAUGUGAAAUCCCCGGGCUCAACCUGGGAACUGCAUCUGAUACUGGCAAGCUUGAGUCUCGUAGAGGGGGGUAGAAUUCCAGGUGUAGCGGUGAAAUGCGUAGAGAUCUGGAGGAAUACCGGUGGCGAAGGCGGCCCCCUGGACGAAGACUGACACUCAGGUGCGAAAGCGUGGGGAGCAAACAGG
rnacentral:rRNA from 1 species